rnacentral:rRNA from 1 species
CGCGUAGGUGGUAGUGCAAGUCUGGGGUGGAAUCUUAGGGCUUAACCCUAAAACUGCCUUGGAAACUGCAUUACUUGAGUCAGUGAGGGGAGGGUAGAAUUCCUGGUGUAGCGGUGAAAUGCGUAGAUAUCAGGAGGAAGGCCUGUGGCGAAGGCGGCCCUCUGGCGCUGAACUGACACUGAGGCGCGAAAGCGUGGGUAGCAAACAGGAUUAGAUACCCUGGUAGUCCACGCCCUAAACGGUGGGUACUAGGUGUAGGGCUCGUAAGGGUUCUGUGCCGAAGGGAAACCAUUAAGUACCCCGCCUGGGGAGUACGGCCGCAAGGUUGAA